CACUUUGAUUUUGGGACUGUGACGAAUUAAGUCACCGUGUGUUCACAAUUUAGUCAGUUUAACUUGAGUUAACGUGUACAUUUUUUGAGUGACUGAGUAUCAAGUGUAGUACGCUGCCCGAGUAUUAUAACUCCCUUAUCCUUACAGUUAGAUAGAUGGCAUGCAUGCACCACGUUUUUAUAGGAUGCUACGUUUUUUUUUUUUUUAAGAAGGCUCGGUUUGAAUCCAUUUUUAAAAUGAUGGUGACUACUCAGUCCUCACGGACGCGACCUGUCUGUGACCCCAGGCCAGGGGGCAGUUUCUGUGGUCGGAAGCUAUGUGGGGCCCACAGAGAUGCCCGUGAAAAAUCCACUCCGUCCAUCAGUUUCGAAAGGCCAUAAUAGAUUGGAAAACAAAAAUCAAGAAGAUCCAAAACUCAGAUGCGCCACACCACGCGAAACAGUUAGAACAGAAAUUUCCACCGUUGAAACCUUCCUGGAGUCGACCAUGAUCUUUAUAUGCCAUCCAAACCGUUCACAGGGUUAUUACCACUCAGAGAAACUAUAGUUUCAAACAUCAUCCAGAUACACAAAGUUUCCAAUAGAGUAUUAAAAAAAUAUUUCAAAAAUCUUUAAAAUUUUGAAAAUUUUGAAAAAUUUUAAAUAAAUAAAUAGAUAACCAUAAAGUUCUCAAAAUCCUAAAUUGGUAACCACUAAAAAUCUAAAAGACUUGAAAAGACUACUCUAAGCUGUGGUCCAUCUAUCCCACACGUGUGGUGGACGACCACCUUUAAAAUAAUGGCACACUAUCAUUAAUGAAGUGUCCGGCCUAUGUUUCUUUUUCGUUUCUUUUUCAAGUCCAAAAUAAUUGAGGCUUUCUGUAUUUAAGUUUGGCCCAGAGAUCUUGUCCUGAUUUUUCGGGUUUUAUCUGUCCUAUCUGCAAUGGACGGUCACCAGUCAAAGAUCUCUUCCCAGCUUUAUGGGCGUUUUCUAUAGUUGCUUGUCGUCUCCAAGACCUUAAGAUCCGGGGAAAAACAGGAUGCUAUUUGUAUCCACGCAUCUGAACGGUUAAACACAAGUGCUGAGAUGGAACUCUGUUUUCCAGGUGGGUCACAGGUUUGUAGAAAAUGGACGGUGAGAAAAUGGACGACCAACUGAUCAGAAUAAAUGUACAUAUCUAGCCUAAUUUGAUGGGUACAGAAGACUGAUUUUAGGUUAGGAAAUGGACGGUUCCGAUCGUACACAUGCAUGUUAUGUAUAUACACAUGGGACGCUUGAUUUUGGCUCGUGCACAUGCACUGCGGCAAAUAGCGUUCAUCCUGGGAUAAUGAGGUGAAUGGACGUGUAAACCAUCUCAACUGUCCAAUCAAUGGGCCUCGGCCUUAAAGUUGUAGGCAUGGUUGCUCGAAAUCAUCAGAUCAGUGGACAUUCAUAGAUCUACGAUUGUUGACGUUUUUACAUGCCGAGCCCUUCUCUGUGGCCAAUCAAUUUGACGGCUAGGAUCAAUGUGUGCAAACCAAUCUGACCGUUAAGACAUACACCAAGAUCAUC